rnacentral:rRNA from 1 species
AUUGAACGCUGGCGGCAGGCUUAACACAUGCAAGUCGAGCGGAGAUGAGGUGCUUGCACCUUAUCUUAGCGGCGGACGGGUGAGUAAUGCUUAGGAAUCUGCCUAUUAGUGGGGGACAACAUUCCGAAAGGAAUGCUAAUACCGCAUACGUCCUACGGGAGAAAGCAGGGGACCUUCGGACCUUGCGCUAAUAGAUGAGCCUAAGUCGGAUUAGCUAGUUGGUGGGGGAAAGGCCUACCAAGGCGACGAUCUGUAGCGGGGCUGAGAGGAUGAGCGGCCACACUGGGACUGCGACACGGCACAGACUGCUACGGGAGGGAGCAGUGGGGAAUAUUGGACAAUGGGGGGAACCCUGAUCCAGCCAUGCCGCGUGUGUGAAGAAGGCCUUAUGGUUGUAAAGCACUUUAAGCGAGGAGGAGGCUACUGAGACUAAUACUCUUGGAUAGUGGACGUUACUCGCAGAAUAAGCACCGGCUAACUCUGUGCCAGCCGCCGCAGUAAAAC